rnacentral:rRNA from 1 species
UACGUAGGGGGCAAGCGUUGUCCGGAAUCAUUGGGCGUAAAGAGCGCGUAGGCGGCCCGGUAAGUCCGCUGUGAAAGUCAAAGGCUCAACCUUUGAAUGUCAGCGGAUACUGCCGGGCUAGAGUCCGGAAGAGGCGAGUGGAACUCCUGGUGUAGCGGUGGAAUGCGCAGAUAUCAGGAAGAACACCAAUGGCGAAGGCAGCUCUCUGGGACGGUACUGACGCUGAGACGCGAAAGCGUGGGGAGCGAACAGG